GUUAAGGUGGCAGAGUCCGUAAUUGCAUAAAGUUUAAGCCUUUACCGUCAGAGGUUCAAAUCCUCUUCUUAACA
rnacentral:tRNA from 1 species